rnacentral:rRNA from 1 species
CGGAGCUUGCUCCACCGGGAAAAGAGGAGUGGCGAACGGGUGAGUAACACGUGGGUAACCUGCCCAUCAGAAGGGGAUAACACUUGGAAACAGGUGCUAAUACCGUAUAACAAUCGAAACCGCAUGGUUUCNUUUUGAAAGGCGCUUUACGGUGCCGCUGAUGGAUGGACCCGCGGUGCAUUAGCUAGUUGGUGAGGUAACGGCUCACCAAGGCCACGAUGCAUAGCCGACCUGAGAGGGUGAUCGGCCACAUUGGGACUGAGACACGGCCCAAACUCCUACGGGAGGCAGCAGUAGGGAAUCUUCGGCAAUGGACGAAAGUCUGACCGAGCAACGCCGCGUGAGUGAAGAAGGUUUUCGGAUCGUAAAACUCUGUUGUUAGAGAAGAACAAGGGUGAGAGUAACUGUUCACCCCUUGACGGUAUCUAACCAGAAAGCCACGGCUAACUACGUGCCA